AUGACUCCUCGCCGUUUCCUCCUACCUCGCCGGAAUCCUACCACCCCAACCCCGUGCGGCGCCCACACACAAAGGAACAUGGAUCGAGAGUCAUGGCAUAUAGUUACUUGGUUGGCCGAAGUGUGA
rnacentral:rRNA from 1 species